GGCAACUUGGCCGAGCGGUCUAAGGCGCCAGACUCAAGCGUCAGCUUGAUCCUCUCAGAGGAUAGCAUUCUGGUAUCGAAAGAUGCGUGAGUUCGAAUCUCACAGUUGUCA
rfam:Colletotrichum gloeosporioides Cg-14 contig00484, whole genome shotgun sequence.